AGCGCUAGGGUUUUCGAUAUAUGAGGGGGUGGCUGCUUGUGGAAAGGAAGGAAGAUGGCGCCGCCGCCGCCGCCCGCAGUCUCACUUCCUUAUCUCGUGAUCUACUCGCACUCCGACGCAUGGUCUGGCAUUGAGGGGCACAGGGGCCGAGAGUGGAAUGGCUUGUCUUGAUCUGUCUGAUCCAUGGACAGUUUGAGGAACCACAGUUGCAUGACCAAAGAGGUGAUAUUUUAGUAAUCUCACUUGAUGGCAAAAACACUUCGAUGGUUGAAAUAGUGUACACAGUUGGCCAACCAAGCAGCUGGAUCAUCAUUUCCAUUUGAACGAUGGAAAUCCAACCUUCAAAAAUGGAGUUUCCCCAUAGUUGGGAGAAACCUUGCCUCAGUAGACGGUAGACGGAUUGGGUAGGCUUUCAUCCUAAUUGUGAUGGAGGAUCUGUGAUGUUUCCCAUUCUUUGGAAAGUUGCACUUUUGGUUCGAUCUCUCAAAGUAGCUAAUAUCAUAUUUCUAAUUAAAUGUUCUUAAUCUUAAUCCCAAAUAAAAUUGCAUUUUACGUUUUUGGCAGAUCAAGUGAAGUUUGAGGUUUGGUUUUAAUAGUGUUGAAAAUUGGCGGCUCUUUCAGUGCACUUGGGUUGAUAUAUACGUGACGACAGAUUAUUUCUAGACAGAAAGGAUGUACUUUUGAACUUCUUUGUCACAAUGAGUUUAUCGUUUCCUUUAGGAAUUUUCCAGUUGAGAUUGUGAUGGAUUGUUUUGUGUUUUAUUUUGUGCUUGUUUCAUGUAUAGUUCUAAGAAAGUUUAAACAAGCACAAAUGUGCAUUCUAGUUUCUCAAUUAGAGGAAUCCAAAGUCUCAUCCCAUGAUUA